rnacentral:lncRNA from 1 species
CCGGUCCCCAUACGACCGCGUUCGCGCGGUGCACGCCGAUCCUUAAGAACUUUCUCUCCCGGCGUUCGUCACUCUCCGCCCAUCACCCCUCGCUGCUUUCUUUCAAUCCCGACACACCUCGACGCCUUUCAACUCCGCUUCUGACGCCUUUCAACUCCACCCCGACGUCGCUUCGUGUGGACCCUCGACCCUCAGUGAACGGCGCGUUGGUCGGCGCGGAGCUCGCGCACGGCGGCGCGCACCUCAAC